rnacentral:rRNA from 1 species
GGGGGGGGGGGGGGGGGGGGUUUACGCAGGCAGGGCGGACGGGAGGGCGGGCUUCGGCCGGGCGGCGGGUGGCGAACGGGGGGGUAAGACAGCGGAACGUGCCCAGUCGGGGGGGAUGGCUCGGCGAAAGCCGGAGUACUACCGCACACGACCUGAGGGGGAAAGCGGGGGAUCUUCGGACCGCGCGCUAUUGGCGCGGCCGAUGGCAGAUUAGCUAGUUGGUGGGGUAAAGGCCUACCAAGGCGACGAUCGGUCGCUGGUCUGAGAGGGCGACCCGCCACACUGGGACUGAGACACGGCCCAGACUCCUACGGGAGGCAGCAGUGGGGAAUUUUGGACAAUGGGCGAAAGCCUGAUCCAGCAAUGCCGCGUGUGUGAUGAAGGCCUUCGGGUUGUAAAGCACUUUUGGCGGGAACGAAAAGGACUGUGCCAAUACCACGGUUCGAUGACGGUACCCGCAGAAUAAGCACCGGCUAACUACGUG